rnacentral:rRNA from 1 species
AGAGACAGCAGCAGCCACGGUAAUACAGAGGGUGCGAGCGUUAAUCGGAUUUACUGGGCGUAAAGCGUGCGUAGGCGGCUUCUUAAGUCGGAUGUGAAAUCCCUGAGCUUAACUUAGGAAUUGCAUUCGAUACUGGGAAGCUAGAGUAUGGGAGAGGAUGGUAGAAUUCCAGGUGUAGCGGUGAAAUGCGUAGAGAUCUGGAGGAAUACCGAUGGCGAAGGCAGCCAUCUGGCCUAAUACUGACGCUGAGGUACGAAAGCAUGGGGAGCAAACAGGAUUAGAUACCUCCGUAGUCCCUGUCUCUUAUAC